GCCAGUGUGGCAUAGUGGUUUGGGUGUUGGACUACAACUCUAGAGACCAUGGAUCUAUUCCAAGCUUGGCCA